GUGGGUGUAGUCAAGUGGUUAAGACGCAGGAUUGUGGCUCCUGUAUUCGUGGGUUCGAAUCCCAUCAUCCACC
rnacentral:tRNA from 1 species